rnacentral:ncRNA from 1 species
AAUUCUCUAGGCAAUGAAGCUUGCCUUGGAGAACAGUCUUCCGGAACCGCUUUUUUGGCUGAUAGUUUCUGCGAUUAU